GGAUGGGCUCGCGGCCUAUCAGCUUGUUGGUGAGGUAAUGGCUCACCAAGGCGUCGACGGGUAGCCGGCCUGAGAGGGUGACCGGCCACACUGGGACUGAGACACGGCCCAGACUCCUACGGGAGGCAGCAGUGGGGAAUAUUGCACAAUGGGCGGAAGCCUGAUGCAGCAACGCCGCGUGAGGGAUGACGGCCUUCGGGUUGUAAACCUCUUUUAGCAGGGAAGAAGCGUGAGUGACGGUACCUGCAGAAAAAGCGCCGGCUAACUACGUGCCAGCAGCCGCGGUAAUACGUAGGGCGCAAGCGUUAUCCGGAAUUAUUGGGCGUAAAGAGCUCGUAGGCGGUUUGUCGCGUCUGCUGUGAAAUCCCGAGGCUCAACCUCGGGCCUGCAGUGGGUACGGGCAGACUAGAGUGCGGUAGGGGAGAUUGGAAUUCCUGGUGUAGCGGUGGAAUGCGCAGAUAUCAGGAGGAACACCGAUGGCGAAGGCAGAUCUCUGGGCCGUAACUGACGCUGAGGAGCGAAAGGGUGGGGAGCAAACAGGCUUAGAUACCCUGGUAGUCCACCCCGUAAACGUUGGGAACUAGUUGUGGGGUCCUUUCCACGGAUUCCGUGACGCAGCUAACGCAUUAAGUUCCCCGCCUGGGGAGUACGGCCGCAAGGCUAAAACUCAAAGGAAUUGACGGGGACCCGCACAAGCGGCGGAGCAUGCGGAUUAAUUCGAUGCAACGCGAAGAACCUUACCAAGGCUUGACAUACACGAGAACGGGCCAGAAAUGGUCAACUCUUUGGACACUCGUGAACAGGUGGUGCAUGGUUGUCGUCAGCUCGUGUCGUGAGAUGUUGGGUUAAGUCCCGCAACGAGCGCAACCCUCGUUCUAUGUUGCCAGCACGUUAUGGUGGGAACUCAUGGGAUACUGCCGGGGUCAACUCGGAGGAAGGUGGGGAUGACGUCAAAUCAUCAUGCCCCUUAUGUCUUGGGCUUCACGCAUGCUACAAUGGCCGGUACAAAGGGCUGCAAUACCGUGAGGUGGAGCGAAUCCCAAAAAGCCGGUCCCAGUUCGGAUUGAGGUCUGCAACUCGACCUCAUGAAGUCGGAGUCGCUAGUAAUCGCAGAUCAGCAACGCUGCGGUGAAUACGUUCCCGGGUCUUGUACACACCGCCCGUCAAGUCAUGAAAGUCGGUAACACCUGAAGCCGGUGGCCUAACCCUUGUGGAGGGAGCCGUCGAAGGUGGGAUCGGUAAUUAGGACUAAGUCGUAACA
rnacentral:rRNA from 1 species